rnacentral:tRNA from 1 species
GUCCCCGUAGCUCAGUUGGAUAGAGCGACUGCCUCCUAAGCAGUAGGUCGCAGGUUCGAAUCCUGCCGGGGACA